GCUGCAUCACAAUAGCACGUCCUUUCCUGCCUAACAAGGAUGAGCCGUGGGUGAUAGACCACACAACGAGCCCGCGGAGACUUGUUGACUUGCACACACUAGUGCUACACGCCACAAACUACCAUGGAAAUCUUGGGUCAGUAGACUACAGCUAGCCAGGCAGUGACGCUUGAGAACCAGCCAGAUCAAUCCAUCUCCAAAAUCACAAAACACUCUUCCCGGUGACCCAGCGCUGCCGAGGCCACCUUUUCUCUUCUGGCGAUCACAUCUUCUCCAUCGGCGGCUCAGUAUCAUCAGAGCAUUCUUCACAAUCUUCAUAGCUGAGAAGCAUCUCUCAAUGGUUGCAGCUGCAACAGGCAAAAACUGGAGAGAUGAGAAAUGAGAUCACCGUCGCCGUCGCCGUGCCGGUGUGCCGCCGCCCGCCGGCCAGGAAAACGAGCAGCAAGGGACGGACUAUGGGGAGUCGACGAUUCACGAUUGCCGGCGGCGCUGCAGCGAGCCGGUGACUGCGCUGCGGUUUGAGAUUGAGGCGACAGGCGGGGGCUUUCGUUCCAGUCCCGUGCGGGGCUGAUGCGUCCGUGUUUUUUCUUAGGUUUUUUUUUUUGAGAAAUGUGUUUUUUCUUAGGUUGUGUAUAAAAGGCAGGGUUCAGAUUUACGACGCUACGGGCUAUGGCCUUUUACUGGGCUGUUUUUUGUCUUAGGUUGUGUAUACGUGUGUAGGCAGGGAAAAACCUAUUUGACGCUCUCUGCAUCAAAGUGUCGACCAGACGCACAGGGGCGCGAUUGAUUGGGCCGGGCCAUCUACAUAUCUGGCAGUUCUGGUUU